UUUUAUGGAGAGUUUGAUCCUGGCUCAGAGUGAACGCUGGCGGCGUGCCUAAUACAUGCAAGUCGAACGAUGAAGCUUCUAGCUUGCUAGAAGUGGAUUAGUGGCGCACGGGUGAGUAACGCAUAGGUCAUGUGCCUCUUAGUUUGGGAUAGCCAUUGGAAACGAUGAUUAAUAUCAGAUACUCCCUACGGGGGAAAGAUUUAUCGCUAAGAGAUCAGCCUAUGUCCUAUCAGCUUGUUGGUAAGGUAAUGGCUUACCAAGGCUAUGACGGGUAUCCGGCCUGAGAGGGUGAACGGACACACUGGAACUGAGACACGGUCCAGACUCCUACGGGAGGCAGCAGUAGGGAAUAUUGCUCAAUGGGGGAAACCCUGAAGCAGCAACGCCGCGUGGAGGAUGAAGGUUUUAGGAUUGUAAACUCCUUUUGUUAGAGAAGAUAAUGACGGUAUCUAACGAAUAAGCACCGGCUAACUCCGUGCCAGCAGCCGCGGUAAUACGGAGGGUGCAAGCGUUACUCGGAAUCACUGGGCGUAAAGAGCGCGUAGGCGGGAUAGUCAGUCAGGUGUGAAAUCCUAUGGCUUAACCAUAGAACUGCAUUUGAAACUACUAUUCUAGAGUGUGGGAGAGGUAGGUGGAAUUCUUGGUGUAGGGGUAAAAUCCGUAGAGAUCAAGAGGAAUACUCAUUGCGAAGGCGACCUGCUGGAACAUUACUGACGCUGAUUGCGCGAAAGCGUGGGGAGCAAACAGGAUUAGAUACCCUGGUAGUCCACGCCCUAAACGAUGGAUGCUAGUUGUUGGAGGGCUUAGUCUCUCCAGUAAUGCAGCUAACGCAUUAAGCAUCCCGCCUGGGGAGUACGGUCGCAAGAUUAAAACUCAAAGGAAUAGACGGGGACCCGCACAAGCGGUGGAGCAUGUGGUUUAAUUCGAAGAUACACGAAGAACCUUACCUAGGCUUGACAUUGAGAGAAUCCGCUAGAAAUAGUGGAAUGUCUAGCUUGCUAGACCUUGAAAACAGGUGCUGCACGGCUGUCGUCAGCUCGUGUCGUGAGAUGUUGGGUUAAGUCCCGCAACGAGCGCAACCCCCUUUCUUAGUUGCUAACAGGUCAUGCUGAGAACUCUAAGGAUACUGCCUCCGUAAGGAGGAGGAAGGUGGGGACGACGUCAAGUCAUCAUGGCCCUUACGCCUAGGGCUACACACGUGCUACAAUGGGGUGCACAAAGAGAAGCAAUACUGCGAAGUGGAGCCAAUCUUCAAAACGCCUCUCAGUUCGGAUUGUAGGCUGCAACUCGCCUGCAUGAAGCUGGAAUCGCUAGUAAUCGCAAAUCAGCCAUGUUGCGGUGAAUACGUUCCCGGGUCUUGUACUCACCGCCCGUCACACCAUGGGAGUUGUGUUUGCCUUAAGUCAGGAUGCUAAAUUGGCUACUGCCCACGGCACACACAGCGACUGGGGUGAAGUCGUAACAAGGUAACCGUAGGUGAACCUGCGGUUGGAUCACCUCCUUUCUA
rnacentral:rRNA from 1 species